AGUUUAAAUUUCAGGUGCCGGGCAGGGUCUGUAGAUAGGAGAUUAACGCCAUCCUAUGAUUACCUUAAUGAGAGGAUCACAUCACAUCUGGUCCAGUUCAGCCACUGAUUACAGGUGCUGGCUGUGAGCCCUACUUCUCUAAUAGGGCUGUGCUCCGACCGCCUUCCUACCUAACCAGUCUCAUGUUUUUUCCAUCAGUGUGAUAAGCUUGCUAAAGAAGACUUCAACCUUUGUGCGUGUGUGACUGCAACUAUCGAUUUAAGUGAUCACCAGCUGCUUGUUGCCCUCCUGAGUGGACAAAGUCUACCUACAGAACCACUUGCAAGCCCUGGGAUUCAGCUUUGUCCUGCUGUUUCCAAAUUUGAGAUACCCUUAAGAGACAGCUCUCCUACCUCCUGGAAUGAGUGGGCUUUAUUUCGACUGGGGCCCCAUCCUAAGGUAACAGUCCCUUUUGAUCGCCUGCUGUCGUGUCUGGAGCCCAACUAUAUUCGCCAGCCUUUACAGAUGCGUUAGCAGAAUUGAAUGAAUAAUGUCUGAAAGCAUUUUGGAAGCAAUCAAACAUUAGAAAGUUGAUGAAUAGGUAUGGCAGUGUAUUUACUAAAGAGAUUGUAAAUGUCAGAAUUUAUCAGAGGACACUUGUUGGUUUUAAAGAUUUAUGUAAUAUUUAAAUGAAUUUUGGCACUUUUGGUAGGAGGGAUAGUUUUCUCGAAUUUUCAGAGCUUUCAGUGUGGGAAGCAAAGCAUUAGGGAAUUCUUUGAUUUCAAGGUUUUAAUAGCAGAGACAGGAGUGUGGCUUAUAUGAAUACCAGUUUAACAAGGGUUUAGUGGUCCUUUAAAAGACAAAGUUCUAGGACCAACUGUUUUAGUUUAUUAUAAAAAAUACCAAUCAUGAAAAACUGUGAGAAAUUAGUACUGUGGGGUCAGAGAAGUGGUCCUUGAAGAAAGAGCACUUGAGUUGACAUCUGAAAGACAGGAAGGCAUUAACCAGGGAGGAGACAGAUUUUUCAGAAAGUAAUGGGCAAAGCCUCUGUUGUCAGGGGAAGUGUGGUGUACCUGAAGACUAAACAAAUUCUGGCAUGUCCAGAGCGCAGAAUGAAAGGGAGAAUAGUGCGAGAUAGGGCUGGAAGGAGAGGCAGGGACAGGACAGUGGAGGCAUCCAGCAGGCUCUCUUAUAAGUCUUGAUCUUCAUCCUAAGAACAAGAGACAGUGUUGAAGUGUUAACAGGGCACAUGAUUCCUUGUUUCAAAAAGAUUACUCUGGCCGACUUUGGUUAGAGCACAUGUGGGGAGACCAGUCAAGGCUAUUGGAGUGGUUCAGGCGUGGGCCAGUGGUAGCUUGGAUUAGCAGAGGAGUGAGUGAAAGGGAAGCAGAUGGCUCUGGGAGUUCUGUAAAGGGUCAGAUGGACAGGAUGUAGUGUUGCCUUGUCUAGUGAAGGAAAAGCUUGGAACUUUUAUGUCCUGAGAUAAGAAACAUUGGAAGAGGGUCAUAGUUAUAUCUGGGACAUGUUGAGCCUA
rnacentral:lncRNA from 1 species